rnacentral:rRNA from 1 species
UACGAAGGGGGCUAGCGUUGUUCGGAAUUACUGGGCGUAAAGCGCACGUAGGCGGAUACUUAAGUCAGGGGUGAAAUCCCGGGGCUCAACCCCGGAACUGCCUUUGAUACUGGGUAUCUCGAGUCCGGAAGGAGGUGAGUGGAAUUCCGAGUGUAGAGGUGAAAUUCGUAGAUAUUCGGAGGAACACCAGUGGCGAAGGCGGCUCACUGGUCCGGUACUGACGCUGAGGUGCGAAAGCGUGGGGAGCAAACAGG